AGGAUUCCUUAGUAACUGCGAGUGAAGUGGGAAAAGCUCAAAUUUAAAAUCUGGCAGUCAUGUGGCUGUCCGAGUUGUAAUCUAGAGAAGUGUUGCCCGUGCUGGACCAUGUACAAGUCUCCUGGAAUGGAGCAUCACAGAGGGUGAGAAUCCUGUCUUUGACAUGGACUACCAGUGCUUUUGUGGUAUGCUCUCAAAGAGUCGAGUUGUUUGGGAAUGCAGCUCAAAAUGGGUGGUAAAUGCCAUCUAAAGCUAAAUAUUGGCGAGAGACCGAUAGCGAACAAGUACCGUGAGGGAAAGAUGAAAASAACUUUGGAAAGAGAGUUAAACAGUACGUGAAAUUGCUGAAAGGGAAACGCUUGAAGUCAGUCACGUUGACUUGAAAUCAGCUCUGCUUUUGCUGGGUGUACUUUCUUGUCAAUGGGUCAGCAUCAAUUUUGACCAUUGGAUAAAGUUGUUGGGAAUGUAGCAUCUUUUGGAUGUGUUAUAGCCUGGCAAUGCAUACAGUGGUUGGGAUUGAGGAAUUCAGCAUGCCGCCAGGCCGGGUUUCGACCACGAUCGUGCUUAGGAUGCUGGCAUAAUGGCUUUAAUUGACCCGUCUUGAAACACGGACCAAGGAGUCUAACAUAUCUGCAAGUGUUUGGGUGGAAAACCCAUGUGCGUAAUGAAAGUGAAAGUUGAGAUCCCUUCUGGGAGCAUCGACGCCCGGACCAGACCUUUUGUGACGGAUCCGCGGUAGAGCAUGUAUGUUGGGACCCGAAAGAUGGUGAACUAUGCCUGAAUAGGGUGAAGCCAGAGGAAACUCUGGUGGAGGCUCGUAGCGAUUCUGACGUGCAAAUCGAUCGUCAAAUUUGGGUAUAGGGGCGAAAGACUAAUC
rnacentral:rRNA from 1 species